CGCGUUCAUAUACUCGUACUACCAGAACUGUUCGUAUUUGUACUGUUUGUAUUUUAAAUUAAUAUUAAACGAAAAGUCAGUUACUGAGUACCUAGUGAAGUUCAAAUCAUUGCGUUCCAGGUUGAUUGAUAUUAUUCUAUUAAUUUCGUUUUUGUGCUUUUUUAUCAAUUUGAGAAAAAACAAUGGAGCAAAAAAUGGGGUAAAAAAUUCAAGCAUAGAAGAACUGAGGUUAUUUCAGUCGGGUCUUCUAUACGAGAAGUUAAGAAUGGGAUUCGAAAUAAAGGCAAAAGUGUUUGUUGACCGGGAAAAGGUCGAAAAAACAGUGAAAGCCAAUUUCCGAAAACUUACCCUACAAUCUAUUUGAUCCUCCCAUCAACAAUUUUAAACUUCUGAGACAGCAAAUGGUUGAGAUGACUAUAACAAUACGUUUCAACGACAUUUUAGAUAUUAACAUCGAAUUUCACACGUUUGAGGAAUGUGAACGCUUCAAACAAGCUUUGAGGCAUUUGGAUCCCGAUGGUUCCGAUGACACGCUGAAUGGAG